ensembl:lncRNA
CCCCCUAGUUGUAUCUUUGGAAUGUGAUACAAAACGAGGAAGCGGUGUGCUUUAGGACCAUGUGGACACCUCUGAGCGGACGGGUAGGCUGUUUGGAGUGUUUAUCCGAGAAAAUAUUAGCUGCGCCCCAGGUUCUCUCUAUGGUCACCCCACAGCAAGGUCACUCAGUUCACUCUCUCUAUGGCCUUUUACGGGAAUUAGCUUUGCAUUUCUUGCGCUCCACAACUUUCACACGUGGACGUUGAAACCAUGGCAUAGAGCCAAAUGAGCACAUACAUUGCAAGACAUAGACGGAGCCAUUGACAGUGCAAAGGCGUCAAGAGGCAAUGUGCAACCUGAACCCAGUACAGGAUAUAUAACAUGACAACACAGCCAAUCUAACUCAUUUUAUAUCCACAUGCUUUGGUCCUGUUGUAAUGUAUCAAGAGGCGUCAGGCUAAGAUUAUCACCUCACACUGAACCCCAAAACUCACCCCGGUGGUGACAGAGUUCAUUUGCUUUAAAGAUGAUGACAUUAAUUUCCCCUUUUGACUCAGAUUAACCCAUUUACGCACACACCCUCAUAAACACACACACACAUUCAGUGUACUGUACACAUUAACAAACAAACACACACACACACACACUGCGGGCACUGUCAUACACACUGCAGUGUCAUAAUCUCCUGGGACAGAGAGAGGGGGAGAGAGCGAUAGAGAGAGAAUGACAGAGAGAGGGGGAGAGAGAGCGAUAGAGAGAGGGAGAGAGAGAGAGCGAGCGAUAGAGAGAGAAUGAUAGAGGGGGAGAGAGUGAUAGAGAGAGAGAGAAAAUGACAGAGGGGGAGAGAGAGUGAGAAUGACAGAGAGAGAGAGAUGGAGAGAGAGAAAGAGAGCGAGAGAGAGAGAUUGAGAGACAGCUAUACAGAGAGAGUGAUAGAGAGAUAAUGACAGACAGAGGGGGAGAGAGAGCGAUAGAGAGAGAAUGAUAGAAGGGGAGAGAGAGAGCAAUAGAGAGAGAGAGACAGAUAGUGAGAGAGAGAGAGAGAGAGAGAUGGAGAUGGAGAGACACAGCUAUACAUAGGGAGUGAGAGAGAGAGAGAGAGAGAAAGAGAUGGAGAUGGAGACACAGCUAUACAUAGAGAGUGAGAGAGAGAGAGAUGGAGAUGGAGACACAGCUAUACAUAGGGAGUGAGAGAGAGAGAGAGAGAGAGAGAGAUGGAGAUGGAGACACAGCUAUACAUAGGGAGUGAGAGAGAGAGAGAGAGAGAAAGAGAUGGAGAUGGAGACACAGCUAUACAUAGGGAGUGAGAGAGAGAGAGAGAGAGAAAGAGAUGGAGAUGGAGAGACACAGCUAUACAUAGAGAGAGAGAGAGAGAGAUGGAGAUGGAGACACAGCUAUACAUAGGGAGAGAGAGAGAGAGAGAGAGAGAUGGAGAUGGAGACACAGCUAUACAUAGGGAGUGAGAGAGAGAGAGAGAGAGAAAGAGAUGGAGAUGGAGACACAGCUAUACAUAGGGAGUGAGAGAGAGAGAGAGAGAGAGAUGGAGAUGGACACACACAGCUAUACAUAGGAGUGAGAGAGAGAGAGAGAGAGAAAGAGAUGGAGACACAGCUAUACAUAGAGAGUGAGAGAGAGAGAGAGAUGGAGAUGGAGACACAGCUAUACAUAGGGAGUGAGAGAGAGAGAGAGAGAGAGAUGGAGAUGGAGACACAGCUAUACAUAGGGAGUGAGAGAGAGAGAGAGAGAGAAGAGAGAUGGAGAUGGAGACACAGCUAUACAUAGGGAGUGAGAGAGAGAGAGAGAGAGAGAAAGAGAUGGAGAUGGAGACACAGCUAUACAUAGGGAUGGAGAUGGAGACACAGAGAGAGAGAGAGAGAGAGAGAUGGAGAUGGAGACACAGCUAUACAUAGAGAGUGAGAGAGAGAGAGAGAGAAAGAGAUGGAGAUGGAGACACAGCUAUACAUAGGGAGUGAGAGAGAGAGAGAGAGAGAAAGAGAUGGAGAUGGAGACACAGCUAUACAUGAGAGAGAGAGAGAUGGAGAUGGAGAGAGAGAGAGAGAAAGAGAUGGAGAUGGAGACACAGCUAUACAUAGGGAGUGAGAGAGAGAGAGAGAGAGAGAUGGAGAUGGAGACACAGCUAUACAUAGAGAGUGAGAGAGAGAGAGAGAGAGAAAGAGAUGGAGAUGGAGACACAGCUAUACAUAGGGAGAGAGAGAGAGAGAGAGAUGGAGAUGGAGACACAGCUAUACAUAGCUAUACAUAGAGAGAGAGAGAGAGAGAGAGAGAGAGAAAGAGAUGGAGAUGGAGACACAGCUAUACAUAGGGAGUGAGAGAGAGAGAGAGAGAGAGAUGGAGAUGGAGACACAGCUAUACAUAGGGAGUGAGAGAGAGAGAGAGAGAGAGAGAUGGAGAUGGAGACACAGCUAUACAUAGGGAGAGAGAGAGAGAGAGAGAGAAAGAGAUGGAGAUGGAGACACAGCUAUACAUAGGGAGAGAGAGAGAGAGAGAGAGAGAAAGAGAUGGAGAUGGAGACACAGCUAUACAUAGAGAGUGAGAGAGAGAGAGAUGGAGAUGGAGACACAGCUAUACAUAGAGAGAGAGAGAGAGAGAUGGAGAUGGAGACACAGCUAUACAUAGAGAGUGAGAGAGAGAGAGAUGGAGAUGGAGACACAGCUAUACAUAGAGAGUGAGAGAGAGAGAGAUGGAGAUGGAGACACAGCUAUACAUAGAGAGAGAGAGAGAGAGAGAUGGAGAUGGAGACACAGCUAUACAUAGAGAGUGAGAGAGAGAGAGAUGGAGAUGGAGACACAGCUAUACAUAGAGAGUGAGAGAGAGAGAGAGAGAGAGAGAGAGAUGAAGAUUGAAGAAUUGAAUUGAAGAAUCCAUAGACUCUAACCACUUCUGGGAAAAUUGGAAAACACUAAACAAACAACAACACGAAGAAUUAUCUAUCCAAAAUGGAGAUGUAUGGGUAAACCACUUCUCCAAUCUUUUUGGCUCUAUAACAAAGAAUAAAGAUCAAAAACAUAUACAUGAUCAAAUACAGAUCUUAGAAUCAACUAUUAAAGACUACCAGAACCCACUGGAUUCUCCAAUUACAUUGAAUGAGUUACAGGACAAAAUAAAAACCCUCCAACCCAAAAAGGCCUGUGGUGUUGAUGGUAUCCUCA